CUUGGAGGAUGUACAAUACAGUUUUUAUAUAAAAUUCUAGGUAAAAAACUGAUAAUGACUAAUAUUUAUCUAUGAGUCUUGACCAACAAACGUGCCAGCUGUCGCGGUAAGACGUUAAAGACAAGUGUUAUUCAUCUUUAUUUGGUUUAAAGGGUACCUAGACAGUAAAUCAAGCCUAAUUGACAGGAACUAAUUUUCUAGAGUUUUAUGGAAGAGGCUCGUAUAUCUUAGGAAGAGUGUUUAAAUACUGUGAAACCGGAUGGACGGGUAAAGGCGUAGGCAAGCUUCUAUGUAAAAACUGACGUUGAGGGACGAAGCCUCGGGGCGCGAUAGGGAUUAGAUACCCCAAUAGUCCGAGGAGACAAUGAUGAGUGCCAUAAGCUAAAUAAAGUAGUUUAUAAAUGAAAGUGCAAGCAUUCCACCUCAAGACUAAAGCGGCUAACGCCCAAAUUGAAAUCAUUAGACCGCUAUCUGAAACCAGUAGUGAAGUAUGUUAUUUAAUUCGAUGAUCCGCGAAUAACCUUACCACGUUUUGAAUAUUUAAAGGUAAACUUUAAUGUUUUACUCUAAAAUAUCUUACAAGCGUUGCACGGCUGUCUUUAGUUGAUGUCGUGAGACCUAGGUUAAUUCCAUUAAUCGGCGAAAACCCUUGUUUUAUUUUAUUAGAGCUGUUCUCCGUUAUAUUGGAUAUAGAUAAUAGGGAUUAAGACAAGUCAUCAUGGCCUUAAUAAC
rnacentral:rRNA from 1 species